ACAGGCGUAGAGACGGAACUCUGGCAGCUGCGACCGCGAAGAAAAGGAAGGAUCGAGGAGAGGAGCUGGUGAAGAUAUCACGAACAUACGGUCACUUGUUCUCUCGACUUACAUGUUAAUUUAUAUCUGUGUCCCAGCCUUCGCGACUUGUACUACGGGUCCAUACAGAUAUUCUCGCGAACGAUCGCGAAUAUACAAAAAUGUGUCCAACAUUUCUUAAGCCUAGUGUCCCUCCGCAGUACGCGCCACGUGUAAAUCAUCUAUUGUCAUCGAGAUCUCCGCUGAUGAUAAAACUUGUUGCGGGUUCUGCAGAUGAAAACGAUGAUGAAAUCCAAUAAGGCGAUCUCAAUAACAACGAUGAUUGAAAGGAUAACGAAAUGGUUGGAGACAUUAAGGUCGAUAUAUCCUUCUCGACCAUAUUUAUAUUGAAAGAAAAAUAUUAAUCAAAAGUAC
rnacentral:misc_RNA from 1 species